rnacentral:rRNA from 1 species
UACGGAGGGUGCGAGCGUUGUCCGGAAUCACUGGGCGUAAAGGGCUCGUAGGCGGCGCGGUAAGUCGGGUGUGAAAUCUCAGGGCUCAACCCUGAAACUGCACUCGAUACUGCUCUGCUUGAGGACUGGAGAGGAGACUGGAAUUCACGGUGUAGCAGUGAAAUGCGUAGAUAUCGUGAGGAAGACCAGUGGCGAAGGCGGGUCUCUGGACAGUUCCUGACGCUGAGGCGCGAAGGCCAGGGGAGCAAACGGG